rnacentral:rRNA from 1 species
CCUACGGGGGGCUGCAGUGGGGAAUAUUGGACAAUGGGGGCAACCCUGAUCCAGCCAUGCCGCGUGUGUGAAGAAGGCCCUCGGGUUGUAAAGCACUUUCAGUGAGGAAGAACGCCUGGUGGUUAAUACCCAUCAGGAAAGACAUCACUCACAGAAGAAGCACCGGCUAACUCCGUGCCAGCAGCCGCAGUAAUACGGAGGGUGCGAGCGUUAAUCGGAAUUACUGGGCGUAAAGCGCGCGUAGGUGGCUUGAUAAGCCGGUUGUGAAAGCCCCGGGCUCAACCUGGGAACGGCAUCCGGAACUGUCAAGCUAGAGUGCAGGAGAGGAAGGUAGAAUUCCCGGUGUAGCGGUGAAAUGCGUAGAGAUCGGGAGGAAUACCAGUGGCGAAGGCGGCCUUCUGGACUGACACUGACACUGAGGUGCGAAAGCGUGGGUAGCAAACAGGAUUAGAUACCCCUGUAGUC